rnacentral:rRNA from 1 species
UGAGGAAUAUUGGUCAAUGGGCGGGAGCCUGAACCAGCCAAGCCGCGUGAGGGAGGAAGGCCCUAUGGGUCGUAAACCUCUUUUGUCAGGGAACAAAAGCGAGUAUGUAUACUAGUCUGAGUGUACCUGAAGAAAAACGCAUCGGCUAACUCCGUGCCAGCAGCCGCGGUAAUACGGAGGAUGCGAGCGUUAUCCGGAUUUAUUGGGUUUAAAGGGUGCGUAGGCGGCGGUGCAAGUCAGCGGUAAAAGCCCGGGGCUCAACCCCGGCGAGCCGUUGAAACUGCAGUGCUAGAGAAGGCGAGAGGUACGCGGAAUGCGCAGUGUAGCGGUGAAAUGCUUAGAUAUUGCGCAGACUCCGAUUGCGGAGGCAGCGUACUGGCGCCUGACUGACGCUGAGGCACGAAAGUGUGGGGAGCAAACAGGAUUAGAUACC